rnacentral:rRNA from 1 species
GAUGAACGCUGGCGGCGUGCCUAAUACAUGCAAGUCGAGCGAACGGACGAGAAGCUUGCUUCUCUGAUGUUAGCGACGGACGGGUGAGUAACACGUGGAUAACCUACCUAUAAGACUGGGAUAACUUCGGGAAACCGGAGCUAAUACCGGAUGAUAUUUUGAACCGCAUGGUUCAAAAGUGAAAGACGGUCUUGCUGUCACUUAUAGAUGGAUCCGCGCUGCAUUAGCUAGUUGGUAAGGUAAUGGCUUACCAAGGCAACGAUGCAUAGCCGACCUGAGAGGGUGAUCGGCCACACUGGAACUGAGACACGGUCCAGACUCCUACGGGAGGCAGCAGUAGGGAAUCUUCCGCAAAGGGCGAAAGCCUGACGGAGCAACGCCGCGUGAGUGAUGAAGGUCUUCGGAUCGUAAAACUCUGUUAUUAGGGAAGAACAUAUGUGUAAGUAACUGUGCACAUCUUGACGGUACCUAAUCAGAAAGCCACGGCUAACUACGUG